rnacentral:rRNA from 1 species
GACGAACCGUGCGAACGUUAUUCGGAAUCACUGGGCUUAAAGCGCGUGUAGGCGGAUGGGAACGUCGGUAGUUGAAAGCCCCCGGCUCAACCGGGGAAGUGGUGCCGAAACGACCCGUCUGGAGGGACGUAGGGGGACCUGGAACUUCCGGUGGAGCGGUGAAAUGCGUUGAGAUCGGAAGGAACGCCCGUGGCGAAAGCGAGGUCCUGGACGUCUACUGACGCUGA